UAGGGAGCAAGCGUUAUCCGGAAUUAUUGGGUGUAAAGGGUGCGUAGACGGGAAAUUAAGUUAGUUGUGAAAUCCCUUGGCUUAACUGAGGAACUGCAACUAAAACUGGUUUUCUUGAGUAUUGGAGAGGAAAGUGGAAUUCCUAGUGUAGCGGUGAAAUGCGUAGAUAUUAGGAGGAACACCAGUGGCGAAGGCGACUUUCUGGACAAUAGCUGACGUUGAGGCACGAAAGGGUGGGGAGCAAA
rnacentral:rRNA from 1 species